CCUACGGGGGGCUGUAGUGGGGAAUAUUGGACAAUGGGGGCAACCCUGAUCCAGCCAUGCCGCGUGUGUGAAGAAGGCCCUCGGGUUGUAAAGCACUUUCAGUGAGGAAGAACGCCUGGUGGUUAAUACCCAUCAGGAAAGACAUCACUCACAGAAGAAGCACCGGCUAACUCCGUGCCAGCAGCCGCGGUAAUACGGAGGGUGCGAGCGUUAAUCGGAAUUACUGGGCGUAAAGCGCGCGUAGGUGGCUUGAUAAGCCGGUUGUGAAAGCCCCGGGCUCAACCUAGGAACGGCAUCCGGAACUGUCAAGCUAGAGUGCAGGAGAGGAAGGUAGAAUUCCCGGUGUAGCGGUGAAAUGCGUAGAGAUCGGGAGGAAUACCAGUGGCGAAGGCGGCCUUCUGGACUGACACUGACACUGAGGUGCGAAAGCGUGGGUAGCAAACAGGAUUAGAUACCCCUGUAGUC
rnacentral:rRNA from 1 species